rnacentral:rRNA from 1 species
UACAGAGGGGGCAAGCGUUGUUCGGAAUUACUGGGCGUAAAGGGCGUGAAGGCGGUCUGCUAAGUCGAACGUGAAAUCCCCGGGCUCAACCCGGGAACUGCGUCCGAUACUGGCAGGCUUGAAUCCGGGAGAGGGAUGCGGAAUUCCAGGUGUAGCGGUGAAAUGCGUAGAUAUCUGGAGGAACACCGGUGGCGAAGGCGGCAUCCUGGACCGGUAUUGACGCUGUAGCGCGAAAGCUAGGGGAGCAAACGGG